ensembl:lncRNA
GCUGAGGGACGGACAGGGAAUCUAGCGAAUGAGCAGGGGGGUGAAGUUGAGUACCUGAGUCAGACUGCUGAUUUGUUGGAUGUAUGACCUUGGGCGAGUCACUCAGGCUCACUGUACUUCCGUUUCUUCAUCUAAAAUGGAGAUGAUGUGGGAUGUCCCUGGUGGUCCAGUGGUUAAGACUUCGUCUUCCAAUGCAGCGGAUGUGGGUUCGAUCCCUGUUCAGGAAGGUAAGAUCUCACAUGCCUCGCAGCCAAAAAAACCAAAACAUAAAACAGAAGCAGUAUUGUAACAAAAUUUUAUGUGAACUUUAAAAGAAUGGUCCACACACACACACACAAAAAAUAAUAAUAAGGAUAAUGAGAGUACCUUCACAGAGGGUGAGAUAAUACAUGCAAAGCACUUAGUGCGAUCCUUGGCAAAUAGUAAGUGCUCAAAACACAUUAGCAGAUACUACCUCUACUCCUUGUCAAGAUCUUCCUCCCUUGUCCUGGCCAGUUUUCCCAAGUCCACUCUUCCGUUGACUUAAAAAAAAUGCACAACAUGAGAGUUGCGAGUUAAGUUUUAUUUGGGGCAAAAUGAGGACUGCAGCCUGGGAGACAACACCUCAGAUAACUCUGAGAAACUGCUCCAAAGAGGCAGACGGGGAGGGAUAGUUAAAUAUGUGAUUUUGGUGAAGGAGAAAUAAAUGCAGUCAACCACAAAUUUUACCGAAAGUUUUCUGCUAGUCUCAUGAAGCUUUCUGCUAGUCACGAGGAACAGACAUCACCAUGAAGGAUUUUAGUGCUUUUCUAAGUAUGAAGGGAUACAAGAAUUGGGCUCAUAGAUUCACUCCUGAAACUGUCUGAAGACCUGUUCUGCAAGCUUCCCCCCAACUCCCCACCCCCCAGUACAGAGUGUCUAAUUUCUGCUGUCCACCCUGGAUUCCUUUCAGGGAGUGUCGAAGGUCAGCAGUUGCAGCAGCACUUGAUUUAAUCCUGUAGAGGUAGAUGGCAAGCACCCAUGGCAAGUGCCAAUUUGUAGUUAAUGCUUGCAAAACCAAUUCAAAAUUUCCCUUUUCCAGGGAGUCUCCAGGGACUCUUCUCAGGCCAACUUAUAAAACUGAGGCUCUUUCAAGACCUUUGGAUUAUAUUUUCAUAUAUGGAUGAGAUCCUUUCAUAAGCAUUUCUGCUAGAUGUCCACUUUCUGUCUCUCUGCUCAGAAGCAGGAGGAGGGGCUCCACCCUCCAGCUGGACACCCCCCUUGAAAGGGCAGUAUUUCUUUCAUAUAGAGUGAAGUUGAUCUAGGUGUACUGACAUAGAAAUAUCAUGAAGAUAUAUUGUUAAAUUUUUAAAAGUGAGGUGAAGAAUAGUAUGUAGGGCAUAAUCCCAUGUGGGUAAAUGUUCAUGCUUUGAAAACAGCUAAAGGAAUUAUAAAUAUAUGGAGGCAGAGAAAACUUUUCAUAUUUUCCCUUCUAUCCUAUUUGAAAAAUUUGAAGUUAUGAACCUAUUAUUUUUUAAUGUGGAAAGUUAGCUUAAAUUAGGAGAAUUUAAAAGAUUUCCCUCAAUAAUUGUAGGUCUGGGCAAUUCUCUGUUUCAUUACUUUUUGCUAUGUGAUUUUCCAAGUGUUUUCAUCCAUGUUCUACACCCUUCUUACUCUCAUCCCUUUUCUCCACUUCACUGAAGGUGAGGCAUACCUGACUCUGCAUGUUUGUGUGAGAAUAUAAGUCCCACUAGGGAAGUCCCUCUGAAGUGUCUUCUGACAUUAAUCUAUCUGACUUUAACCUGACUACCCCUUCUGAGUCCUCCACAGGGUUAGGUCUGUAGGGCCCAAUGCACAGAUGAUCUGAGAGACUAGGCAAGUUUGAAAGGGAUGGAGUGGAGUUAGGAGCAAGUUAUUGACCUAAAGAGAACAGAAAACUAUACCCUUUUGUUAGGAGAAUUGAAGAAAAUAAUGGUCUUUUCCAAAGCCCUACAGCUAAGUACUGCUUCCUUGUUUCUCUCUCUUCCCUCUUGAUCAUGAAAGAAGCGACACAGGCAGAAGGCAGGCAUUUUACAAAGUACAGAGAAGGCUCUCAGUUGGAGCUGGAUAUUAGUCUUUUUUUAAACAAACAAACAAAAAAACAAAACUAGAG